GGAGGUCUGGGCUUUUCCUACUGAGACUGCUGCCCCCGCGACCCGGAUAAGCCGAGCAAAAUGGAUGGAUGGAUGGAGGAGUGUAAAGGAAGGUGGCCUGGGACCGGGAAGUCUGGGCUUUCCUACUGCGACUGCUGCCCCCACGACCCGGAUAAGCCGAGCAAAAUGGAUGGAUGGAGUGUAAAGGAAGGUGGCCGGGGUGACCGGGAAGUCUGGGCUUUCCUACUGAGACUGCUGCCCCCGCGACCCGGAUAAGCGGAGGAAAAUGGAUGGAUGGAGGAGUGUAAAGGAAGGUGGCCGGGGACCAGGAAGUCCGGGCUGCUUUCCUACUGAGACUGCUGCCCCCGCGACCCGGAUAAGCCGAGGAAAAUGGAUGGAUGGAGGUGUGUAAAGAUGGCCGCAGUCGUCGUGACAGAACGUUUCUUGUGACGAGGAUGUCGGAUGCUGAGGUGAACAAACGUCUGCGGACGCAAGAAGGCUGGCUGACCAGUCGAUACGGGGACAGUCGAUGAGGCCCGCUUUCCAUCACCGUCUCCUGCCGCCAUCUUGAUCCCACGCACGGGACGUCUCGUUAGGGCUGCGUUUUAUC